AUCGAACGCUGGCGGAAGGCCUAACACAUGCAAGCCGAACGAGUGGCGGACGGGUGAGUAACGUCUGGGAGACUGCCUGAUGGAGGGGGAUAACUACGGGAAAAGGUAGCUAAUACCGCAUACAAUUGGAAGAGCCCAGAUGGGAUUAGCUAGUAGGUGGGGUAAAGGCUCACCUAGGCGACGAUCCCUAGCUGGUCUGAGAGGAUGACCAGCCACCCUGGAACUGAGACACGGUCCAUACUCCGACGGGAGGCAGCAGUGGGGAAUAUUGCACAAUGGGCGCAAGCCUGAUACAGCCAUGCCGCGUGUAUGAAGAAGGCCUUCGGGUUGUAAAGUACUUUCAGCGGGGAGGCGUUACCCGCCGAAGAAGCACCGGCUAACUCCGUGCCAGCAGCCGCGGUAAUUC
rnacentral:rRNA from 1 species